rnacentral:rRNA from 1 species
UACAGAGGGUGCAAGCGUUAAUCGGAAUUACUGGGCGUAAAGCGUGCGUAGACGGUUAUGUAAGUCGGGUGUGAAAGCCCCGGGCUCAACCUGGGAAUGCCAUUCGAGACUGCUAGCUAGGGUGCGGAAGAGGGAAGCGGAAUUUCCGGUGUAGCGGUGAAAUGCGUAGAUAUCGGAAGGAACACCAGUGGCGAAAGCGGCUUCCUGGUCCAGCACCGACGUCAGGCACGAAGCGUGGGAGCAAACAGG